GCUUCGGUGGCCUAGUGGUUAGGGCAUCCGCCUCGGAUGCGUGAGAUCUUGGGUUCCAUCUCCGGCCAAGUCCUACCA